UCGGCAAAAAAGGGGGAUGGAGAGCGAGGAAAAGGAGAAGAAAUGGAGAAAGAGGUAAAGGAGAAGAUAUGAAGAAGAGUAGAAAUUGGGAGUGGAAAGGAGAAGGGGAAAGAUGUAGAUGGGAGAAAGGAAUAGAUGGAGAGGGAGUAGGGAAAAAGGGGAGCAAGAACGAAAGCUGAACGGGUGGAUAUAAAAUAAGAGAUAGGGGGAGAGGGUAUUAGCUGGAGGCCGAGAACGGAAGUGAUGCAGAUCGAGAGAGAUAUUGAUAGAAGGAGGGAGUAAGAGAGAGAGAAAAAAAUGGCGAAGGAGGAAGAGAGGGAAAAAAAUAAAGAUAUUAAUCCAUCUAAUAAAUCUUUACUGUGGUUCCAGCGAAGACCGAAAAAGGGACGAGGACUGAGCAACACAAAACAACAGACGUGGUUGGUCUUUUCGCACUCUUCUGGACAAUAGCGGCAACUCCUCUCCUCUUAAUGCAUGCUAGGGCUUCAGGUCACGAGGAAUGGACAGCCUGCCUUACCAUUCCAUCACACUUUCUGCUCUUGUUCGCCAUCUUCCUGCUCCUCAAUGGCGAUGACCCGAUUUACGCAGAGGUCAUGAAGGAGAAAGGUCAGGAAGAGGAAGAAGAGGACGACGUCACGCCCCUUUGGCUUCUGGACGAAGAACGAGAGGAAGUGGAAUGAGAGGAAGGGGGGAGAGAUAAUGAGGAAGCGAGCGACGAGCACCCAUUGUGGUUUAAUAAACAGGAAAUCUUUUUAUAGAAUGUGUUGUGAGGGCAUAUGUGUACUUUGUGAUCUGAAAAUUGCAUUGCGUGAAUUAUAUUUACUUUUAUAUAUGACGAAUUUGAAUCUGGCGAUCCUGUUUCCAUUAAACGAGUCUGCAGAUUUUAUAACCAAUACAUGCCCAACAUAAUGUAGACAGUUGUUGUGUAACUGGAAACGGGAAACCACCUUGAUUGAUCUUUCCCUUGUAUUUCUAUGGCAGACAUCUCAGGAAAGAAUAUAAUAAAAAAAUAAAAUAAAGUGGGUCAAACUGCUCUUCUGA